UACGUAGGGUGCAAGCGUUAAUCGGAAUUACUGGGCGUAAAGCGUGCGCAGGCGGCUAUGCAAGACAGAUGUGAAAUCCCCGGGCUCAACCUGGGAACUGCAUUUGUGACUGCAUGGCUAGAGGACGGCAGAGGGGGAUGGAAUUCCGCGUGUAGCAGUGAAAUGCGUAGAUAUGCGGAGGAACACCGAUGGCGAAGGCAAUCCCCUGGGCCUGUACUGACGCUCAUGCGCGAAAGCGUGGGUAGCAAACAGG
rnacentral:rRNA from 1 species